ensembl:snoRNA
UGGACCAAUGAUGGCCAGUGGCGUAGGAGUCAUGGACAAUGAAACUAUAUGUCUGAAACUCUGAGGUCCAG